UGGGGAAUAUUGCACAAUGGGCGCAAGCCUGAUGCAGCAACGCCGCGUGAGGGAUGACGGCCUUCGGGUUGUAAACCUCUUUUAGUAGGGAAGAAGCGAAAGUGACGGUACCUGCAGAAAAAGCACCGGCUAACUACGUGCCAGCAGCCGCGGUAAUACGUAGGGUGCAAGCGUUGUCCGGAAUUAUUGGGCGUAAAGAGCUCGUAGGCGGCUUGUCGCGUCUGCUGUGAAAACCAGAGGCUCAACCUCUGGCCUGCAGUGGGUACGGGCAAGCUAGAGUGCGGUAGGGGAGAUUGGAAUUCCUGGUGUAGCGGUGGAAUGCGCAGAUAUCAGGAGGAACACCGAUGGCGAAGGCAGAUCUCUGGGCCGUAACUGACGCUGAGGAGCGAAAGCAUGGGGAGCGAACA
rnacentral:rRNA from 1 species